GACGAACCGUGCGAACGUUGUUCGGAAUCACUGGGCUUAAAGGGCGCGUAGGCGGGUCCGCAAGUCCGGGGUGAAAUCUUUCGGCUCAACCGGAAAAGUGCCUUGGAUACUGCGGGUCUAGAGGGAGGUAGGGGUCUGUGGAACUGAUGGUGGAGCGGUGAAAUGCGUUGAUAUCAUCAGGAACGCCGGUGGCGAAAGCGACGGACUGGAUCUCUUCUGACGCUGAGGCGCGAAAGCUAGGGUAGCGAACGGG
rnacentral:rRNA from 1 species